CUUUAAACUGAAACGCUGGUCAACGAGUGUUUCCCCGUCUCAGCAGACCAGUGAAGAAAUGUGCUAAAGUCACCUCUACAACCAUGAAUGGGGGAAUGUGAGUUAGUGUGCAGAUCAGGCCGAACCAUGAAUCUUCAUUCAGAGAGAUACGGACAAAGACGGAGGACGGGACUGAGGCUACACAAUGACUGCAGUGAGUCAGUGCUUGUAAUGUG